rnacentral:tRNA from 1 species
CGCGAUCGCGGCGUGGGUGCUCAUGCACGCCUCGGGCGUGCACGCGACGAUCGCGGGCGUGCUGCUCGGGUUCAUGAUCCCGGCGAUCGCGA